GACGUAGGGCGCGAGCGUUGUCCGGAUUUAUUGGGCGUAAAGAGCUCGUAGGCGGUUUGUCGCGUCGUCCGUGAAAACUCACAGCUUAACUGUGAGCUUGCGGUCGAUACGGGUAGGCUAGAGUUCGGUAGGGGAGACUGGAAUUCCUGGUGUAGCGGUGAAAUGCGCAGAUAUCAGGAGGAACACCGGUGGCGAAGGCGGGUCUCUGGGCCGAUACUGACGCUGAGGAGCGAAAGCGUGGGGAGCGAACAGG
rnacentral:rRNA from 1 species